rnacentral:rRNA from 1 species
UACGUAGGUGGCAAGCGUUGUCCGGAAUUAUUGGGCGUAAAGCGCGCGCAGGCGGUCCCUUAAGUCUGAUGUGAAAGCCCACGGCUCAACCGUGGAGGGUCAUUGGAAACUGGGGGACUUGAGUACAGAAGAGGAAAGCGGAAUUCCACGUGUAGCGGUGAAAUGCGUAGAGAUGUGGAGGAACACCAGUGGCGAAGGCGGCUUUCUGGUCUGUAACUGACGCUGAGGCGCGAAAGCUAGGGUAGCAAACGGG